rnacentral:rRNA from 1 species
GAUGAACGCUGGCGGCGUGCCUAAUACAUGCAAGUCGAGCGAACAGACGAGGAGCUUGCUCCUCUGACGUUAGCGGCGGACGGGUGAGUAACACGUGGAUAACCUACCUAUAAGACUGGGAUAACUUCGGGAAACCGGAGCUAAUACCGGAUAAUAUAUUGAACCGCAUGGUUCAAUAGUGAAAGACGGUUUUGCUGUCACUUAUAGAUGGAUCCGCGCCGCAUUAGCUAGUUGGUAAGGUAACGGCUUACCAAGGCGACGAGGCGUAGCCGACCUGAGAGGGGGAUCGGCCACACUAGAGCGGAGACACGGUCCAGACUACUACGGGAGGCAGCAGUAGGGAAUCUUACGCAAUGGGCGGAAGCCUGACGGAGCAACGCCGCGUGAGUGAUGAAGGUCUUCGGAUCGUAAAACUCUGUUAUUAGGGAAGAACAAAUGUGUAAGUAACUAUGCACGUCUUGACGGUACCUAAUCAGAAAGCCACGGCUAACUACGUG